GGGGGUGUAGCUCAACUGGGAGAGCAUCUGAUUUGCAUUCAGAAGGUCGCAGGUUCGAUCCCUGUCACCUCCACCA
rnacentral:tRNA from 1 species